GCCCAAUUGGUCUAGUGGUAUGAUUCUCGCUUCGGGUAAUUCCAAGUUACUGAGUAACUCAAAUGUGGGAGGUCCCCGGUUCAAACCCGGGAUUGGGCC